rnacentral:RNase_P_RNA from 1 species
GGCAGCCGCGCUUUACCAAUGCCGAAAGGCGGUAAGGUGAGGAAAGUCCGGGCUCCACGGAAACACGGUGCCGGAUAACGUCCGGCGAGGGCGACCUCAGGGAAAGUGCCACAGAAAGCAAACCGCCUGUCAUGACAGGUAAGGGUGAAAGGGUGGGGUAAGAGCCCACCGCAUCUCCGGCAACGGAUAUGGCACGGUAAACCCCANCCGGCGAGGGCGACCUCAGGGAAAGUGCCACAGAAAGCAAACCGCCUGUCAUGACAGGUAAGGGUGAAAGGGUGGGGUAAGAGCCCACCGCAUCUCCGGCAACGGAUAUGGCACGGUAAACCCCACCGGGAGCAAGACCGAAUAGGGAUGACGCGGCGGGCUGAAAGGUUCUCCGGCCGGUUUCCAGGCCAGUCAUCCGGGUGGGUUGCGUGAGGCAGCGUGCGAGCGCUGUCCCAGAGGAAUGGCUGCCACGUU